rnacentral:lncRNA from 1 species
UGACUCUAUGUCUCCCUAUCUGAAUCUUUAUCUUUCUCAUUUCAUUCUGAAUUGUUUUCCUUUUUUUCUCAGUUUCUUCAUUCUGGGAUGAUUUCAUGAUGCCCAACAGUCAUAAUGAGCGGUGUUCUUUAAAGUCUCUGCCAAUGAUCUCCUGAGAUUUGGUGACUAAUACUAGCUCAGCAUUUCCUAGAAGAUCAAUUGGGACAUCCUUUCAACUGUCAGAAAUGAUAUUCAACUGCUUUGUAAGCAAGACCUUUUGUGUGGCCACAUUGGACUAUUCUUUUUGGGUGGCAGUCCCAAAAGAACCUGAAUUAUGUCCCAUCUCUCCAUGUCUACUUCUUUCUCUGCUUGUUUGGCUCUUUCUCUAAAGAGUGAAGGAAAUUAUACUGUUGGCUAUGACUUUGUGUGCUUCAAAACAUCAGGAGAAUCAGAUGAAGAAAGCAUCUUCAGCACCCAGCUCAUCUUCAGCUUAGAAGACUCAUGGGAUCUACAGAUGACUCAAAGACAAGAGGGAAACCAAAAUCAUCAGAUGACAGAGCUGGAAAAGGCACUUUAAAGGCUAGAACAUUAGUCUGAACCUAAUAAAAUGAUAA